ACACAAAGGCCAGAUUAGACUUUGCUAAAAAACCUCUAAAAAAAGGCUGACCAGUUCUGAUGCAAGAUUAACU